GCAGUUUAUACAAACAGAGACAAAGAAGAGGGACUCAGGUAAAUUUUUUCUGCUGCAAAAGUCUCAGACGUGGUGUUAACACCUCACAGAGUGUUUCCCUGGCCAGCUAUCCCUGCCAAGGCAGAGGCUUUAACACAGAGAGCUGUGCUGCCAAGUGGAGGAAUUACAGGAGAACAGCAUCAGAGAAGAGGAAAGAGAGGUAGAGAGAGGUACCAUUUCUCUGAAAUGGACAGCUUGAAGAGUUGAAUCCCAUUCACAACAGCGGGGCAGGAGAUAUUCUCCCCCGGUAUUAAGUCAUAUAAGACACUGCUGAGUCUGGGUCAUGAAGUUAAAGAAGAAAUGAAAGGGUCUGAUUCUUCAUCUUUUGAAGUCCCAUGGGUAUAUUUUCCAGAAAGUGGACUUCUACCAGGUGAAGUCCUGAUGUUUGAGGCAUCCCUGUCUAAGCCCGAGCUGCCCUGCAUGGAAGGGACCUUACUGUUUCAGGAGAGGGGCAUGUGGCAAGUUCUGAAGCUGACAACAUCCCAACCUGUGCCUCUGAAACGGCAUCUGAGUGCUUCCUUGGAGCAGGAUCAGCCAUCCGCCCCUCCUGCUCCCUGGGCAGGGUGUGUAGGGCUGCCAAACCAUGGGCAGGGGCCGUGGGAUGCACCUGGACCUCCCUGUGGACCACAGGAGCCGCAACCUGCUGGACUUGAGCCAGGCCUAACUAUGGAGGACAUCCCUGCCAGCACGGCAGGACUGCGAGCGCAGUGGGGUUUCAGUACCUCGUCACAGGAGCUGAAGUGCUGGAGAGCUGAGAUCUCUCUCUGCAGCAGGUGCUGCUACUUGCUCCUUCUGGUUUUUUCUGCCCACACACUGACCCUGUCUAAAAGUUAGCAGAUUGUGUAGUUCAAUGAGGCUGUAAUAAAAUGUAGUGGGAUUGCAGGUAGGCUGCUUUCUGCUGCACUAGUGUUGUUUAAUGGGCUCAGAUUUGUCAUUAUCCUUGGUUGGUACAGCUCUGACUGGCAAAGCCCAUGACCAUUUGCUAAAAGGGGGUGAUAUGGGGGUGCUUUUGCUGCUUUAUGGCCCUCAUUUCUCCAGAUGCACUAUUUCUUCAUGUUUAACCUGUGCAAAUAGUCUGUCUCAACACAUUUUGCAUUCUGGGGAGGGGAGCAGAACACUGAGAGAAUGAAUUCCUUCCAUGGUAGAAGCAGCUGGAUAGAUUUACCCGAAAACAGGAUUUGUUUAGCAUAAGGAAGAGAGUAUAUUGAGGAUGAUUCAUGGCUGUGUACCCCCACCUCACACAAGGGCACAGAGGAGACCGAGUCGGGCCUGACGAUCCAUGUGGGUCCCUCCCAUCUCAGCUUACUCCAUCACUCUCUUGAAGGUGCACACUGAUAGGAGAGGCAGCAGCCACAAGUCAAGGGAAAUGGAUGUCAGACAUGAAGAAAACUUUCUCCCACGCCGGCAUGGAUGCCAAUGGAGGUACGGCCUCUGGUGAAUGCAUUGGAGGACCUGGCCCUGUGCAACCUGACCUCACUCAGCUGGUUUCUCCCAGCCUAAAAUCCUCUGUGGAGUCUUCAGUUUGAUGCUGCUAAAUGGAUAUCUGGCUGUUUCUUGUGCUCAGUAACACACCUUUUGUUAUUCCACCUGCUACAGCCCAAACUUCCCCUGUUUGCAUUUUCACUUAGAGCAGUGGAGGAAUGAAGCACCGUGAAACAGGCUUCUCUGAAGUUUCUAGCAAUGCAGGAUGUCAGUCUAUUUAUAGCAACAUCUGUAGCUUGGGAGACCUUUGAUGACUUCAUUUCAGAAUAUAUAUCUCUCUUCAUCUGAUCUGUCUCCUAUGCUCAGUGUGAUGUUUCCUGUUGCACUGCAUUUAUUCAGCAUGUAUAGUGCCUAUUUUCCAGAGACAAGCAACAGCAGAAAAUCAUUUAUCACAACCGGUGUGAUUAAAAAAAAAAAAAAAAGCAAAACCAGACGUUGAAGGUUAGUCAGGGAUAAUCUGUUUCAA